GUUAUCUAUUUAGUUUUGGUUGUAGGAGGGGUUAUGAGGGAGUGCUACAUAGCUUUGUUCUAUUUUCUGGUUUAGUUGAUUUCUGUAUUUAUGGAGUGCUAGUAGUUAGAUUUCGUUCAUGAGCGAGAGCUUGAUCGAGCUCCUUUGUAGUUGGGUGGUUAAUUCGCAGUGCCAGCAUCCGCGGUUAUUCUGUUGAUCUUCCCUUCUUAUUGGUUGAAAUGGUUUGUGAGUGAGUUUGAGUUUGGGGGUAGAAUCUUAUUACUCUCUUUUUAUUUUCUCACAGGUUCUUUGAAGGGCUAUUGGAGAUGAGGAUUAGAGACCCUAGUAUUGAGUAAGAUUUGAUUUUGUGGCUUCAUGGUUUAAGCUAAAAAGACUUGGCAGCUGAUGAGGUUCUUCCGGGGGAGCGUGUAUUAUAAUAGAUAGUCCACUUAUGUUUUACCAUUUCUAGGUUAGUUAGUGUAUAUCCGGUUUAGAGAUCUAUAAUUAGUGUUUAUGGGUGUAUUUCUGUUGAUUUAAGCCAGGUCAAUGUGCUGCUAAUGGGAUGGUGUUUAUGCGCUACUUUAGUAAAAGUGGGUGAGUGAAAAUUUUCUUUGUAUUUAGGACUCGGAAGUAGGUGCAUUUAUAGGGGGUGUAUCGAAUUGAGAUUUAGUUGGGGUACACACCGCCCGUCACCCAAAGCGUUUAGCUUUGGUAAGUCGUAACAUGGUAAUACUGGGGGAACCGGGUAUUAGUUGGUGGUUGGUUUAUUUUUGCUACCUUAUGAAUUCG
rnacentral:ncRNA from 1 species